rnacentral:siRNA from 1 species
UACAUUUGUGGACCUAAUUGGGCC